rnacentral:rRNA from 1 species
AUUGAACGCUAGCGGGAUGCUUUACACCUGCAAGUCGCACGCGUGGCGGACGGGUGAGUAAUAUAUCGGAACGUGCCCAGUAGCGGGGGCUAACUACUCGAAAGCGUGGCUAAUACCGCCUCCUAUUGGCUCGGCCGAUACCGGAUUAGCUCGUUGGUGGGGUAAAGGCUCACCAAGUCAACGAUCCGUAGCUGGUGUGAGAGGACGACCAGCCACACUGGGACUGAGACACGGCCCAGACGCCUACGGGAGGCAGCAGUGGGGAAUUUUGGACAAUGGGGGAAACCCUGAUCCAGCCAUCCCGCGUGUAUGAGAAGGCCUUCGGGUUGUAAAGUACUUUGGGCAGAGAAGCGGUAUCUGCAGAAUAAGCACCGGCUAACUACGUGCCAGCAGCCGCGGUAAUAC